UGCUCACGCGACCAACAUUCAUAACACACACUCGCUCCCUCUCUAUUGGUGUUUACUUCCAAAUCCAAGAGCAAACAAUGGCUGGUUUUCUCUGCAACCAACCUGUGUUGGGUUCUUGUCCUUGUUCUACUUCAUUCUCUUCAAAACCCUUUCAAUCUCCACAUCCCCAAAUCGUUCGUUUUCCACCUCGCUCCUCCAACCUUGCUACAAUCUUAGGGUUUCCAACCCCCCUUUCCUUUCGCAAUCAAAGAACCCUCUUCAAGUCCUUUGUAGCUUCCCAUGAUUCGCUUUCAUCUACAUGUGAUGAAACAGGGGAGACUCAGAAUGAUGUAAGAGUGGCAAACGAUGAUGAAGAUAAAAAACCUCUACCCAGCUUAAUGGUCCUCAUUGAAGCAUACAAGGAUGCCAUUCUUAGUGGUGAUGAAGUAACCGUAUCUCAGAUUGAAGAGAGAUUACAUUUAGUGGCAAAUGAAAAAAAUAAGCUGGCUCAGGAAUUAUCGACUUUAUCGGCUAAUCAAGUUUCUUCUAAGGAGAAAUACCUUCGCUUACAAGCAGAUUUUGAUAAUUUUAGGAAAAGAUAUGACAAAGAAAAACUUAACAUCCAAGCUGAUGCACAGAAAGAAUUCAUUGAAAAACUUCUGUUGAUGGUGGACAAUUUUGAGCGAGCCAAACAACAAAUUAAAGCACAUACCGAGAAAGAGAAGAAGAUUGAUGUUAGCUAUCAAGGUAUUUACAGGCAAUUUGUAGAAGUUUUGAGGAGCCAUCAAGUUUCUGUCGUAGCAACAGUUGGAAAGCCUUUUAAUCCAUUGCUUCAUGAAGCCAUUGCACGCGAGGAGUCCGCAGAGUUCAAGGAAGGGAUUAUAAUCAAAGAACGCCGACGUGGUUUCUUACUCAAAGAUCAGGUUCUAAGGCCAGCACAAGUUAAGGUUUCCUCAGGUCCUGGCAACAAGAAAUCUCCAGUGGCUCCUGCCAAGUCCAUGGAGCAGCCUUCAACAGCUGCUGGAAUAGAUGAAAGAUGAUAGUCUCUUGAACUUUCUCACUUAUUCAUUGAAAGCCUAGUUUGACCUGCGUACCUGAUAUACUCAUUCUUCAACUUGAAGCAUUUCUAGUGUUCCAUCGGUGUUUUCAGCCCAAGGAUGGACAUUUAUGUAUGUAUCCUUCUGGCCUUAUUAAUGAAGCUGAGAUAUCAUUUUAUCUAUCACACAUAUCCUCCACGGGAGCCAACUAUGUUCCAGCUUGGACAUGCACAUUUAUGUGGGACUUUUUUUAAUACACUAGACUUAAACUCGAUGCAUUUCUUAAAGAGAAUCAAACAUGUAUCAAUCAAACUAACAAUACGUGUUGAGAGACUAUUGAUAGGUGGGAAACCAUAAUGAGCGAGUCAUUGUGGCUGGGAUUAAUCUCGCCAUAUUCUUCAGAUAAGAAAGUGAUAGGCAAUAGGCAGACUCUUCACACGUGUGGUUCUCUAGUUUAUACAUAU